GCAGGUUGAUGCUCUGCGUGAGGACAGGGCCCAGAAGUUCACUCCCGUCCCCCUGCCCCCGCUUCUCCUCCCAGAAACCCUGUGUAUUCAAGAACAAGUAGCUGGAGUUCUCACUGUGGUUCAGCAGGUUAAGAACCCAACAUAGUGUUCAUGGGGAGCCGGGGUUCGAUCCCUGGCCUCACACAGCAGGUUCAGGAUCCGUCAUUGCCGCAAGUUGAGGCAUAGGUGGCAGAUGUGGCUCAGAUCCCGUGUUGCUGUGGCUUUUUGGUCUAGGCCGGCAGCUACAGGUCCGACUCGACUCAUAGCCGGGGAACCUCCACAUGCUGUGGGUGCGGCUGUUAAAAAAAAAGAAGAAGAAGAAGAAGAAGGAAUAACUGAAGUUAAAUGUCUAUAGGAAAAGGCCUGGGGUAUUUAGAGAGUCAGAUCUAACUUUGUUGCAGCAUUCUAUUACAGACUCCUAGGAACCUGUCCUAAAAUCACCACCAGACUCUUGGUUUUAGAAAUUUCACUGUUUGGCUUUCCGUUGGAGUCGAGGCGAGUGCUAGCUGUGAAAGAAGGCUGAAAUCUGAUGGGCCUCUUUAUUCUGCUCUUUCUUUUCUGAAUGUGGAAACCACCAGAAACCAAUAAAAAAGAAUGGGAAGUGACUGGGGAGCAGACAGGAAAUACCAGUUUCCUUAGCGAAGCACCGCGGCUCAUCCAGGGCCUGCGGUCCUGGUCGCAGUGCAGUGGCCCAGCUGCCUCGCUCGGCCAAGGGCUCUCAACCAGCCACAGCGUCUGCAGCUGAGCAGCCUCUGGGAGCUGCUCUAAAUUCCUGGAUUUCUGCUCCUGGGAGCCCCUGCACACGUGGGUGCUCUGGGGGGCUGGGGGGAGGGGCAGCCCGGUCCCCAAAGAUGCAGAGGAGCUUUGCUUGGAGGCUGAGCUGGGACUGGGAAGCGUGGGAUGGGAGAGUGAUCGGUCUCAAGUUCAAGAAGAGGACAAAGCAAACGGAAGUACUUCCCUUCAAUACAGGAAAUCCCCAGUUGCUUUUAUAUUCUCCCUCGCAGCUGUGCGCAAUCGUAUCUUGCAAUUUCGCCUGAACGUGGAGUUUCAGCCCCUUUUCCUGUGUGGCAUCCUGAGUGUUGGUGUUCAGUAUUUCCUUAUUACAGUGUAUUGUGUUUCACGUUGGCACUGAUUACUGUGCUUUGUUAGUUUAGAAGUCUUGUUUUACCCGGAGAAACGGAACGGAAAAAUAACAGCAAUUUUGAAUUGCAGCUCUCUCCCUUUUUAUUUGGAAAAACAAAACAAAAAAAAACCACACGGCUUCUGUAAAAACUGUGGCAGGAGAAAAGAAGGGGCGGGCUGUUGUCCCUGCGGAUGAAAUAGGCAGGAGACCAAACAGGACGCCGUUUCCACUUAGCAAUGAUUUUAUUAAUGAAUCCCCGUGGAGUUUUAACAACAGAGCAGGGUUUCCUCCUAUUGUGAUUCUCGAUAACCUCCAGAUAUAAUUCCUUCGGAUAGUACUCAUAUGACUUCUUUCUGAUUAUAGGCUUGUAAUAAUUAGAUGUUUAUCCACAGAAAAAAAAGUGCCAUAAAACUUGAUUAAUAGUGAAAGGGAAAUGCCUGUGAGCCUUAUCAUGUAAAUUGUGAUUUUAUAGUACACAUCAUUCCGGAAAUGUAUCGAGAAGGCCUGGGACCAAGAAUUCUCCCAUAAACCAGUACUGGGACUUCACGGAGCAUACCCUCAAAGUGCUGGCAGAUCGUACCCACAUUUCCAUUGCCGACGUACCAUCCAGGUCUGGGGAAAGAAAUGGAAACCAGGAAAGUGUGUGGUGAUUGGUUUUGAAGUGAGGUUAGGUCCAGGGCAAAAUAAAUGUUUUGUACAAUGUGUAUCAGCAACUUGGAAACCACUCAUUUCAAAGAUGCAGAAUCAAAGUAAACUUCACAGUGUUUCCAUGGGGAUAACCGACAGGUGUAAGGCAUCUCCUGUGCGAAGAAGAUGAUGGAGAGAAGAGACCAAGAGUGUGACGGGGAAUGUUGAUGCCAUGCGUCACUUGUGGCAUCAGUGUCGUUGUUUGUUCAUUUCUAAGCAGUUGGGCUCCUCAGCUGCAAGGGAUCAAAGAGGACAGGCACCCAAGGAAACACCGAGGAGUUUGCUUGCCCCUGUGUACAAGUUUCUCCGAAAUGGGCACAUCUUCCCCAAAGUGCCGAGCGAGAGCCAUGAUGGUUUUUUUUUUCAUGCUUGAACCUCCAUUGGACAGUAUUGAAUCCAGGAGCUCCUACUCUGGUGCAACAGAGUUGGCGGCAUCUUGCGAGCGUUGGGAUGCAGGUUCGAUCCCCAGCCUGGCAAGGAUCUGAGGAUGGGUUAAGGAUCCAGCCGUUGCCGCAGGUGCGGAUGUGGUCCCUGGCUCAGGAGCUCCAUAUGCUGUGGGUGUUGAUUGAUUACAUGUGCUAUGUUUGCUGUAGAAGGCUAGGUUAUUCUAAAUCAGAAUUUGACAACUUUAUCAAUUAGCUAUUAUCUGUCCAUCCCUUGUGAGCAAACAUGCUGGUUUACCUACCUCACUUUAAGGGAAUGUGAUGGACCAGAUGCAGAGGCAUUUUUAAAAAGGAUGAACUAAGGGGAGUUCCCUGGUGGCUCAGCAGGUUAAGGAUCACUGCUGUGGCACAGGUGCGAUCCCUGGCCCUGGAACUUUCAUAUGCUGCAGGCAUGGCAAACAAACAAACAAAAAAACCGGAUGCACUAAGAAGAAAAUCACACUAAAUCUUUUAAAGUGCAAGCUCUUCAUUAAAAAUAUGAUUUGUUAUUUACAGUGGUUCAGCAUAUGUACAAUUCCCCAUAUAAUUGAUAGAAUAGAAAGUGGGGCAGAUCCUAAGAAGUUGCGCCUAAGUACAUGGGCCUUUGGAGCAGUGUAGACAUAUUUUCUUCACCAAAUGUUUGCCUGGGGCCAGGCGAUGCACUCAGCGCCAUUCACAGCAGCCAGUUCUAAGGGUUGGAAACUCUUGUUAGAAAAGUUCUCUUGGCCUGAUACCUGCUUCAUCUUCACCCUUGUCAAUUCAUGUUGCUUGUUAUUCAGCAGGACAGCCUGAGUCUUUCCCUUCCGUCUGUGACAUCCAGCUCUGGAAGCUAAGAACCCAAGAUGAGGUGGAGGCGGGCAGGGAUACUGCUACUUGCCAGACAAGUGCACUUGAACUAGCUACUGACUUGAGUUUGUCCUUGGCUGAGGGAUAUAGAAUCAAACAGCCUGGGAAUUGGACCUCGAGGUUACCUGGUGCUCCCUCCCUCCCUGUCCCUGUAUGGAUGGACACCUAGAGACCCCGUGGGCUUGCACGCACUGUUCACACCUUGGCUGUGAGCUUAGUGAGUUUUGUUUCAGGUCUGAGUUCAAUAAUGAAAAGGUACUUUGAUCUCCGAUGCUAAUUCUCCUCCCUCUCUUCCUCCCUUCCUCCCUUUUGGGGCCGUACCCGCAGAUAUGGAAGUUCCUAGGCAAUGCUGGAUCCUUAACCCACUGAGCGGGGCCAGGGAUCGAACCUUCAUCUUCAUGGAGACUAGUCAGGUUCGUUAACCACGAUGGGAACUCCUAGUUCUUCUUUCUGAGCUGAACACACAAGGACAUUUGCCAUCUGCUUAUAGUUUCACCAUCUAAUAUAGUAAUAGCCACUUAGGAAAGUUAAAAAAAAGUACUUAGUGGACAUUUGGCAACCAUAUUAUAAACAAGUGAGACUAGUUUCGUGAACCCGAACUGAGUGGUCCCUGGGUAGGUCACAGUGUUCUGCCUUCCGGCUGAUGCUCAGAGUUCACUGGAAUCCCAGGGAGAAGGGAGAAGCUUUGGAAGUAUGUGGACAUGGGGUUAAGAACCAUUUCUUAGCUCUGGGACCCCAGACACAUUAUGCAGCCACUGAGUUGCCACCUUUUCUCUUUUGGAGGGGCAGGGCACUCCCUCCCUUGGAAGGAUGCUGGAGAGUAAAGCUUGAACUCAGAGCCUUGCUUGGGAUGCAGAGAGCUGCAGCUUGGCCAGUCUCCCACCUCCUAGGGGAGGCAGCAGUGCUCAUCUCUUUUUGGGGGGCAGCAUGUGGAACUUCCUGAGCCGGGAAUCAGACCCUGGCAACAGCAGUGACAACACAGGAUCCUUAACCUGCUGAGCCACUAGGAAACUCCCCAGCACUGCUGGUAAUUUUCUGAUCCUUUCCUAUUCUCAUGAUCAUUCCUCAGGGACUCGUCAUUAGCUGACUCAUUAAGAAGAGAGCAUCUCUUACUGAUUCAUGGUGCUAGUGUUGUGAAGAUACCUCCCCUACCCCCAUCCACCAAACCCCGUCCAGUGGGAAGCAGUAACAGCAGAGGUGGGAAAUGGGUAGAUGCCUGAGCACCACGUGUCAUGGGGACACACAGGGAAGGCCACCUUUGCUCUUCCCGGGCUGCUGGCAAGUUAAGAGCCCAUCCAGAGAAGGUGACUUUGGGGGUGGGUUUGGGUGAGUCUACCAGGCCGAGAGGGGCUGAUCUUGGCCUGAAGGGGCUUGAAGGAGGGGCUAGUAGGCAAGCAGAGGAAUGUAGGAAAGUACUGAAAAAUGCUUUGGAAUGUUCUUAUUCUUUAUUUCGAAUUUUCUUUUUUUCUUUUUUUUGGAAGGAGAGAGAGGCUGCUGAGUUUUUCUGCUCAAUGUUGUUCCCUUUCCUAGCUCGAAAUCUUUCUUUUAUAAAAGACCAAGAAGACAUACGCUCAUUAGGAGUAGCCUGCAUGUUCCACACGGGAGCCUGUCUCUCCUGUGCUCUGAAUAGAGCUUAGAACCUUACUUUCUUCCUCUGCUUACC
rnacentral:lncRNA from 1 species